rnacentral:rRNA from 1 species
CCUACGGGGGGCUGCAGUGGGGAAUAUUGGACAAUGGGGGGAACCCUGAUCCAGCCAUGCCGCGUGUGUGAAGAAGGCCCUCGGGUUGUAAAGCACUUUCAGUGAGGAAGAACGCCUGGUGGUUAAUACCCAUCAGGAAAGACAUCACUCACAGAAGAAGCACCGGCUAACUCCGUGCCAGCAGCCGCGGUAAUACGGAGGGUGCGAGCGUUAAUCGGAAUUACUGGGCGUAAAGCGCGCGUAGGUGGCUUGAUAAGCCGGUUGUGAAAGCCCCGGGCUCAACCUGGGAACGGCAUCCGGAACUGUCAAGCUAGAGUGCAGGAGAGGAAAGUAGAAUUCCCGGUGUAGCGGUGAAAUGCGUAGAGAUCGGGAGGAAUACCAGUGGCGAAGGCGGCCUUCUGGACUGACACUGACACUGAGGUGCGAAAGCGUGGGUAGCAAACAGGAUUAGAUACCCCGGUAGUC